rnacentral:tRNA from 1 species
GAGGGUGUAGCUCAGCUGGUUAGAGCGUUGGUUUGUCAAGUCAAAGGUCGCGAGUUCAAAUCUCGUCAUCCUCG